rnacentral:rRNA from 1 species
UACAGAGGUCUCAAGCGUUGUUCGGAUUCAUUGGGCGUAAAGGGUGCGUAGGCGGCGCGGUAAGUCGGGUGUGAAAUCUCGGAGCUUAACUCCGAAACUGCAUUCGAUACUGCCGUGCUUGAGGACUGGAGAGGAGACUGGAAUUUACGGUGUAGCGGUGAAAUGCGUAGAUAUCGGGAGGAAUACCAGUGGCGCAAGCGGCGCCCUGGCCGUGACCUGACACUGAGGUGCGAAAGCGUGGGGAGCAAACAGG